UUAUAAGAGACAGCAGUCGCCACGGGAAUACGUAGGGUGCAAGCGUUAAUCGGAAUUACUGGGCGUAAAGCGUGCGCAGGCGGUCCGCUAAGACAGAUGUGAAAUCCCCGGGCUUAACCUGGGAACUGCAUUUGUGACUGGCGGGCUAGAGUAUGGCAGAGGGGGGUAGAAUUCCACGUGUAGCAGUGAAAUGCGUAGAGAUGUGGAGGAAUACCGAUGGCGAAGGCAGCCCCCUGGGCCAAUACUGACGCUCAUGCACGAAAGCGUGGGGAGCAAACAGGAUUAGAUACCCCGGUAGUCCCUGUCUCUUAUAC
rnacentral:rRNA from 1 species